GGACGGGGUUGCGUGCCGUGCUGUCGUGCGGACUGGCGGGCGGCGCGGGCGGCGGACUGCUCAGCAUGCUGUACAACAUGGCGGCCGUGCCGGGCGGGCUGGUGUCAGAGCCGGGCUACUACGCGCCCUACCCGCAACCGCCGCUGCUGGCGAAGCUGGGCGGAGAGCCGGCGCCGGCCCACAAGGAACCGGACGCCGUGAAGCUCUUCAUCGGCCAGAUCCCGCGCCAUCUGGAGGAGCGCGACCUGCGGCCCAUGUUCGAGGAGUUCGGCAGCAUCUACGAGCUGACCGUGCUCAAGGACAAAUUCACCGGCAUGCAUAAAGGGUGUGCCUUCCUUACCUACUGUGCCAGAGAAAGCGCGGCGAUCGCCCAGAGCUCGCUCCACGAGAAGCGCACUCUUCCCGGGAUGAACCGUCCAAUACAAGUGAAGCCGGCAGACAGCGAGAGCAGGGGCGAUAGCGCCAACGAAGACCGGAAACUCUUUAUUGGUAUGCUGAGUAAGCAGCAGACCGAAGAGGACGUCAAGCAGCUGUUCCAGCCCUACGGUCUGAUCGAGGAGUGCACUAUACUGCGCGGAACCGACGGUGUUAGCAAAGGUUGUGCUUUCGUCAAAUUCGCGUCACAUCAAGAGGCCCAGACCGCAAUCAACAGUUUACAUGGUAGUCAAACGAUGCCCGGUGCAUCGUCUAGUCUAGUGGUCAAGUUCGCCGAUACUGAGAAAGAGCGUCAGCUGAGGAGGAUGCAGCAGAUGGCCGGCAACAUGGGCCUGCUCUCGCCGUUCGUCUUCAACCAGUUUGGCACAUACGGCACCUACACGCAGUUCGUCGACAGCCAGCAGGCGGCUCUGAUGGCGGCCGCCCAGGGCAGCUAUAUCAGCCCGAUGGCAGCCAUCACCCAGCUGCCGCACGGCGCCCUCACCAACGGAAUACCGACCACCAUCGUGCCCACGUCCAACGGCUCGGCGCCGCCCGUCAACGGCGUCAUCCCAAACAUGCCGUCACCGACCAUGUCGACCUUCAGCGUGGGCGCUCCGCCCUCGUCGCAGCCGGUGGUGUCGGAGGCCGGCGUCUACACCAACGGCCUGCCGCAGUCCUACCCGACCUUGCUAUCGUCGCCGACGUCGAUGAACGGCGAGGCCACCAUGCAGUCGGCCGCCUAUCCGGGCAUGCCCUUCUCCGGAGUCGCCGCGUUCCCCCAGCCCUAUCCCCCGAUAGUGACGCAGCCGCCCCUGAUUCUCCCCCGAGAAGGGUGCAGCAUAAGCGGCCCCGAGGGGUGCAAUCUUUUCAUCUACCAUCUGCCGCAAGAGUUCGGCGACGCGGAGCUAAUGCAGAUGUUCCUGCCGUUCGGUAAUGUCAUCUCCUCGAAAGUCUUCAUCGACCGCGCCACCAACCAGAGCAAAUGUUUCGGCUUCGUGAGCUUCGACAACCCGUCGUCGGCGCAGGCGGCCAUCCAGGCCAUGAACGGCUUCCAGGUGGGCAUGAAGCGGCUCAAGGUGCAGCUGAAGCGGCCCAAGGACGCCUCGCGGCCCUACUAGCGCCACCUGCGCAGCCUAAAUCAGCGAUGAACGGUGCUCAAAACUGUUGGCUGUAAUCGCAUAAUGCGCUCCGCCGUCGGCUGGCCCGGCCGCGCGGUGACCAGUGACGCCACCGUCGGCGCCGCGGCGGAACCGGCGCGUGCGCUCCGUCUCCUUCCGACCUCCACCUCGGCUCGGCUUCUUCAAAAGUGACUUCCAGUGAGGACGUGGCAGCUGCGCAAUAGUCGCCAUCUAGCGGGCGGGCUGGCAGCGGGUCCACCCGGAGCUCUGAGUAGUGUUUCGGUAUUUAUUGAGUAUUUAUUGUUGCGCCGCGCCCUGCGCAAGACUGCUGGCUCCAUGCCGGGCGGGAGACCUUCAGAGACAUCUGCAGUGAUACAGCACAAGCUUUGUUUGAGGAGUGGGCCAGGUGGCGCUGACUGUACGUGCCCUUCGGUUGACAUGCGAAACGAGGCGGGACAUUUCGGUUAUGGAGAAAUGUACACGAAGAGAGGUCGAGCUAGGUGAUAGAAGUGAGUAGGAGCAUUCCAAAAAUUGGAGAGACGAUAUACAUUAUUAGAGUAACCUAUGACCAUAGGGAAUAAGAAUAUCUUAAGUUGGAAAACCAGAUAAAAGGGUGCCGCUUAUUCACCUUCAUAGCAUCACUCUCGUUCCUAUGUGAGUGCGAGAGUCAGCUUUAUCUGCAAUUACGUUUCUCGGUUAUGGAUAAUAGACCAUAGCUUGUUUGUGCAUGGUGGUAGGUAACGUUCUUUACUACUACCAUACUUGGUGCUGAGCUUUUCACAAACGUUUUUCGUCAAGAAAACACGACUGUCGUUUAUCAAAAGAGGGCUUUAAGAGAGCUUCAUGUCAUAUCGGGUAUUUUGUGCACCACGUGUACCAUUUAUUCAAAUCUUACUUAAGAUAUUACACUGUCAUAUGAAACGUGCAGAGCUUUAUGUGUUGUCACUUGCGUGUUUUACGCUAGAACGGGCUUUGGAGUAACGAGUCGUCUGGCGGCGCACCUCAGGCGAGCUUGGAUCUCACCGAUCUUCAUUUUUUCUCGACGUCUAGUCACUGAUAACGCUUAUUUUCCUGAGAGCUUGUAUUGCGAGCAUGACAUUGAGCAGCCCGGUACAUGCGUUGGCCCGGGGCGACCUGUUGGCGCUGCGUGUUUAUAUUAUAACAUUCGUGCAUCUUAAUUCACGAGUCAUUGCCCGCGGCACAUAUGAUGUGAACUUAACCACGUAUACCGCACUCAGUCUCCAACGCUGUCGGGAUUCACGCGCCAGCGUCUCGGUGAGCGCGCCGCGUUUGCGCCGUCGUGGCAGCGCUGUCACCGUCGGGACGUGAACAUGGACGUGGACGCGGACGUGGACGUGGACGUGCUGCGAACCCGCAGUGUCGGCCGGUCGGGACGCGUCGGGUUGGCUCGUCCGAGGCUACGGAUCGUGGCCAGUGCCAACAGGGGCGGUCCGGACCGCAGGGUGACGCCUGCAGUUCGGGGCCGCGCUACGACGCCCACUCCCCCCCCCGCUGCCGCGCGCGCGUGAGGUGCAUUUCAUACGACUUGUUUGUUACACACGUAUAUCACUAUGAAAUUGUCAACCUUGGACUGUUGCGCGUUACAAUUCUAGUGUUGCAUUGUUACGACCUGCGCGACAUGUCCACCCGGCGCGGCCUGCGCGUGGAGAUCUGCCGGCGGCCAGAUGACCUCGGCCAGGUCAGCGCCUCGCCCCUGGACGUGCAACCGGCCGACGCCCUGGAAAGCCUGCCGCCCAGGAGCCGAACCCCGGCCACGCCACAAGGGAAACCCGGCCGCUCCAUGAGGAGCCUGAGCGGAGCGCCGCGCUGGCGUACGGGCGCCUGCCGGCAGAGCCGCCCGCCGCGUGCUUCGACGCCGCUGGGGCGCGCCGCCUACUGCGCACGCCGGCCGCGCCGCGGUCCGGGUAGCUCCGGACGACACACGGCCGCGCCAUUGCCGGCCGCUGUGGGACCGCCGGCCGGUAACGUGAUGCCAGUGUGACAGUGUGACGGUGCCGUCACCCAGGACGUCGACGGUGGCUCUUGACUCGCGUGCGUCGCCGGCUUGGUCACGCUCGGAGAACUCUAGUUAAGUGUGCUCCUCGCGCGCGUGCAGGGACUCCUGCGGUGUUGUACAUAGUAGGCAUAUAUCUAUAUACCGUCGAGUAUUUAGCGAGGCCACAUGAGCGAGUGUGUGGGGCGGGCGACGGACAGUGAUGGUGUACUCUCUGUGUUUAGUAGGCACACGGGACCAAAAUCUUCUAAAUACGUUCCUCUUCUGGAUGUCAGGGCGACCCCCGGUCUGUUCGACUGUCAGUACACCUUGUCUGUCUGUCUCGGUUCGCACCCAGCCCUCGCGGGGACGUAGCUAGGUGACGCCGGGGCAGGGGCAGGGUAGGCGCGCGGCGCGCCGCGGCACGCGCGCGUAGUGAUUACAAGAGUGGGGGGGGAGGGGCGGGCCAGCAGAUGCCGGGCUGCACGGCGGCGCUUGCGAGCACCGCCUGGACUUGCCGGGGCGGCUGUAGCGUACGCCCGCAGAAGACCGAGCUUCUGGUAGACUAGAGCUUGAUUCUCGCAAGCAUAUCAGUGGGACGGGGCCGCUGUCGACCGGCUGACCCCAGGUCAAGGGUCGCCAGGCGGGCUCCGUCCCCACCGCUCCUGCACUCGACCUUGACCUCCCAGUAUAAAGCUUUGAUAUAACAGGAGCCCGACCGUUGUGCAGUAUUAGGGGGCUGCAUUUACCGUAGUUAGUGGAUUUUGGAGUGGGUGGUCCUUAGCGACGUGAGCGCAGCAGUUCUGGGGCCCCGCUUGGUGGCGCAUAUACUCAUGCGGACAGACAGACACGGACACUCGACUGGCAAAACGAACAGGGCUGGGGACGGGGCAUCGCCCAGGGCAUGCGAGGACGGCGUUCAUGCAGAGGCGGCCAAUGGUACUGAACGGCCUCUGAUGGUGAGGCGCGUGCGACAUGAAUAUGUUCGCACCUGCGUGCUUGUGUUCUGCAGACGGUCACAUGUGCGCAAGUACAGCUAGUUAAUCCGAUUCGCUUUACCGUCGUGCGGCCAGGAGGCCGUGCGGGUCGGCGCCAGCACCCAUGGUUAAAACAUGUACAGGGUAUUUCCGAGAGAGAGAGAGAGAAGAGCCGCCGCCCGAGGACGCCCCUUGCGCCCGCCGUAACCGUAAUUCGCAGCUUGCAUAUUGUAUAAGACAUUAUUUGUAACAAAAUAAAUUCUCGGCAGAUA
rnacentral:misc_RNA from 1 species